rnacentral:rRNA from 1 species
AGCGAACGCUGGCGGCAGGCCUAACACAUGCAAGUCGAACGAACUCUUCGGAGUUAGUGGCGGACGGGUGAGUAACACGUGGGAACGUGCCUUUUGGUUCGGAAUAACUCAGGGAAACUUGUGCUAAUACCGAAUGUGCCCUUCGGGGGAAAGAUUUAUCGCCAUUAGAGCGGCCCGCGUCUGAUUAGCUAGUUGGUGAGGUAACGGCUCACCAAGGCGACGAUCAGUAGCUGGUCUGAGAGGAUGACCAGCCACACUGGGACUGAGACACGGCCCAGACUCCUACGGGAGGCAGCAGUGGGGAAUCUUGCGAAAUGGGCGAAAGCAUGACGCAGCCAUGCCGCGUGAAUGAUGAAGGUCUUAGGAUUGUAAAAUUCUUUCAACGGGGACGAUAAUGACGGUACCCGGAGAAGAAGCCCCGGCUAACUUCGUG